rnacentral:rRNA from 1 species
CAGUCGAGCGAAUGGAUUAAGAGCUUGCUCUUAUGAAGUUAGCGGCGGACGGGUGAGUAACACGUGGGUAACCUGCCCAUAAGACUGGGAUAACUCCGGGAAACCGGGGCUAAUACCGGAUAACAUUUUGAACCGCAGGUUCGAAAUUGAAAGGCGGCUUCGGCUGUCACUUAUGGAUGGACCCGCGUCGCAUAGCUAGUUGGUGAGGUAACGGCUCACCAAGGCAACGAUGCGUAGCCGACCUGAGAGGGUGAUCGGCCACACUGGGACUGAGACACGGCCCAGACUCCUACGGGAGGCAGCAGUAGGGAAUCUUCCGCAAUGGACGAAAGUCUGACGGAGCAACGCCGCGUGAGUGAUGAAGGCUUUCGGGUCGUAAAACUCUGUUGUUAGGGAAGAACAAGUGCUAGUUGAAUAAGCUGGCACCUUGACGGUACCUAACCAGAAAGCCACGGCUAACUACGUGCCAGCAGCCGCGGUAAUACGUAGGUGGCAAGCGUUAUCCGGAAUUAUUGGGCGUAAAGCGCGCGCAGGUGGUUUCUUAAGUCUGAUGUGAAAGCCCACGGCUCAACCGUGGAGGGUCAUUGGAAACUGGGAGACUUGAGUGCAGAAGAGGAAAGUGGAAUUCCAUGUGUAGCGGUGAAAUGCGUAGAGAUAUGGAGGAACACCAGUGGCGAAAGCGACUUUCUGGUCUGUAACUGACACUGAGG